rnacentral:tRNA from 1 species
GAUGAUUUGGCAGAAGUUUAUGCUUAUGAUUUAAGCUCAUACUAUACUAUAUUAGUAAUCGUCU